rnacentral:rRNA from 1 species
UACAGAGGUCUCAAGCGUUGUUCGGAUUCAUUGGGCGUAAAGGGUGCGUAGGCGGCGCGAUAAGUCGGGUGUGAAAUUUCGGAGCUUAACUCCGAAACUGCAUUCGAUACUGCGGUGCUUGAGGACUGGAGAGGAGACUGGAAUUCAUGGUGUAGCAGUGAAAUGCGUAGAGAUCAUGAGGAAGACCAGUGGCGAAGGCGGGUCUCUGGACAGUUCCUGACACUGAGACACGAAGGCCAGGGGAGCAAACGGG